rnacentral:rRNA from 1 species
AGUGAACGCUGGCGGUAGGCCUAACACAUGCAAGUCGAACGGCAGCACAGGAGAGCUUGCUCUCUGGGUGGCGAGUGGCGGACGGGUGAGGAAUACAUCGGAGUCUACUCUGUCGUGGGGGAUAACGUAGGGAAACUUACGCUAAUACCGCAUACGACCUACGGGUGAAAGCAGGGGAUCUUCGGACCUUGCGCGAUUGAAUGAGCCGAUGUCGGAUUAGCUAGUUGGCGGGGUAAAGGCCCACCAAGGCGACGAUCCGUAGCUGGUCUGAGAGGAUGAUCAGCCACACUGGAACUGAGACACGGUCCAGACUCCUACGGGAGGCAGCAGUGGGGAAUAUUGGACAAUGGGCGCAAGCCUGAUCCAGCCAUACCGCGUGGGUGAAGAAGGCCUUCGGGUUGUAAAGCCCUUUUGUUGGGAAAGAAAUCCAGCUGGUUAAUACCCGGUUGGGAUGACGGUACCCAAAGAAUAAGCACCGGCUAACUUCGUGCCAGCAGCCGCGGUAAUACGAAGGGUGCAAGCGUUACUCGGAAUUACUGGGCGUAAAGCGUGCGUAGGUGGUUAUUUAAGUCCGUUGUGAAAGCCCUGGGCUCAACCUGGGAACUGCAGUGGAUACUGGAUGACUAGAAUGUGGUAGAGGGUAGCGGAAUUCCUGGUGUAGCAGUGAAAUGCGUAGAGAUCAGGAGGAACAUCCAUGGCGAAGGCAGCUACCUGGACCAACAUUGACACUGAGGCACGAAAGCGUGGGGAGCAAACAGG